rnacentral:rRNA from 1 species
UACGUAGGGGGCGAGCGUUGUCCGGAAUCAUUGGGCGUAAAGAGCUCGUAGGCGGUUCAGUAAGUCGGCUGUGAAAUUCCGAGGCUCAACUUGGGAACUGCGUCUGAUACUGGAUGGCUUGAAUUCGGGAGAGGGAUGCAGAAUUCCAGGUGUAGCGGUGAAAUGCGUAGAUAUCUGGAGGAAUACCGGUGGCGAAGGCGGCAUCCUGGACCGAGAUUGACACUGAUGAGCGAAAGCUAGGGGAGCAAACGGG